ACCUAGUAUGUCUCCUAUCAGAGAUGAUGAUGACUAUGAGGAUGAGGGACUGGAUGAUGAGGAACAAAUCCUUGAUGAGGAGGAUGAGUACGAGGAUGAUGAAAGUGUUAGAGGGGGUGGUUCAAGUAAGAAAAGGAGGAGAUCUGAUUUUAUUGAUGAUGCUGCGGAGGAGGAUGACGAGGAGGAAGAUGAGGACGAAGAGGAUGAUUAUGGUGGGGGAGGAAGAUCUAGGCAUAAAGCUAAGAGGAGAUCGGGCUCUGAGUUUUUUGAUCUUGAGGCUCAGGUAGAUAGUGAUGAAGAAGAGGAAGAAGAAGAUGGAG
rnacentral:lncRNA from 1 species